rnacentral:rRNA from 1 species
AUUGAACGCUGGCGGCAUGCCUUACACAUGCAAGUCGAACGGCAGCACGGGAGCAAUCCUGGUGGCGAGUGGCGAACGGGUGAGUAAAGUAUCGGGACGUGCCCAGUCGUGGGGGAUAACGUAGCGAAAGUUACGCUAAUACCGCAUACGAUCUAUGGAUGAAAGCGGGGGAUCGCAAGACCUCGCGCGAUUGGAGCGGCCGAUAUCAGAUUAGGUAGUUGGUGGGGCAAAGGCUCACCAGGCCGACGAUCUGUAGCUGGUCUGAGAGGACGACCAGCCACACUGGGACUGAGACACGGCCCAGACUCCUACGGGAGGCAGCAGUGGGGAAUUUUGGACAAUGGGCGAAAGCCUGAUUCAGCCAUGCCGCGUGCAGGAUGAAGGCCUUCGGGUUGUAAACUGCUUUUGUACGGAACGAAAAGGUUUGGCCUAAUAAGCUGAGCUCAUGACGGUACCGUAAGAAUAAGCACCGGCUAACUACGUGCCAGCAGCCGCGGUAA